UGCCCUUGGCUGCCCAGUCGAACGUCAGGGAAAGUCGAGUUUGAAUUCACCGAAGUUUUGAGAAGGGAUUAUCUGAAAGACCAAAUAUGAGUUUAAUUUCUAGAUUUAUUGGGCCAAGACAUGUGCAAAUGGCCCAAAAUUGGCUUUCAACAGCAGGAUUUUUCGGAGCAAGUGCAACAGGUGUUUUCCUGUAUCUGACAGACUGGAAAGUUGUUGUGGCCAAUCUGCC